rnacentral:piRNA from 1 species
AGCAGACCCAGAAGAGCUUUUUACC